rnacentral:rRNA from 1 species
UGCAGUCGAGCGGAUUUAUCCUUCGGGAUAAGUUAGCGGCGGACGGGUGAGUAACACGUAGGUAACCUGCCUAUAAGAUCGGGAUAACUAUCGGAAACGAUAGCUAAGACCGGAUAACUGGUUUUCUCGCAUGAGAGAAUUAUGAAACACGGAGCAAUUCCCUGGCUUAUAGAUGGGCCUGCGGCGCAUUAGCUAGUUGGUAGGGUAACGGCCUACCAAGGCGACGAUGCGUAGCCGACCUGAGAGGGUGAACGGCCACACUGGGACUGAGACACGGCCCAGACUCCUACGGGAGGCAGCAGUAGGGAAUCUUCCGCAAUGGACGCAAGUCUGACGGAGCAACGCCGCGUGAGUGAUGAAGGUUUUCGGAUCGUAAAGCUCUGUUGCCCUAGACGAACAGCAAGGGGAGUAACUGCUCUUUGUGUGACGGUAUAGGAGAAGAAAGCCCCGGCUAACUACGUGCCAGCAGCCGCGGUAAUACGUAGGGGGCAAGCGUUGUCCGGAAUUAUUGGGCGUAAAGCGCGCGCAGGCGGUCAAUUAAGUUGGGUGUUUAAGCCCGGGGCUCAACCCCGGUUCGCAUCCAAAACUGGUUGACUUGAGUGUAGGAGAGGAAAGUGGAAUUCCACGUGUAGCGGUGAAAUGCGUAGAGA